rnacentral:rRNA from 1 species
UACGUAGGGUGCAAGCGUUAAUCGGAAUUACUGGGCGUAAAGCGUGCGCAGGCGGUUAUGCAAGACAGAUGUGAAAUCCCCGGGCUCAACCUGGGAACUGCAUUUGUGACUGCAUGGCUAGAGUACGGUAGAGGGGGAUGGAAUUCCGCGUGUAGCAGUGAAAUGCGUAGAUAUGCGGAGGAACACCGAUGGCGAAGGCAGCCCCCUGGGCUAGCACUGACGCUCAGGCACGAAAGCGUGGGGAGCAAACAGG